rnacentral:rRNA from 1 species
UCGAGCGAACUGAUUAGAAGCUUGCUUCUAUGACGUUAGCGGCGGACGGGUGAGUAACACGUGGGCAACCUGCCUGUAAGACUGGGAUAACUCCGGGAAACCGGAGCUAAUACCGGAUAACAUUUUCUCUUGCAUAAGAGAAAAUUGAAAGAUGGUUUCGGCUAUCACUUACAGAUGGGCCCGCGGUGCAUUAGCUAGUUGGUGAGGUAACGGCUCACCAAGGCAACGAUGCAUAGCCGACCUGAGAGGGUGAUCGGCCACACUGGGACUGAGACACGGCCCAGACUCCUACGGGAGGCAGCAGUAGGGAAUCUUCCGCAAUGGACGAAAGUCUGACGGAGCAACGCCGCGUGAGUGAUGAAGGCUUUCGGGUCGUAAAACUCUGUUGUUAGGGAAGAACAAGUACAAGAGUAACUGCUUGUACCUUGACGGUACCUAACCAGAAAGCCACGGCUAACUACGUGCCAGCAGCCGCGGUAAUACGUAGGUGGCAAGCGUUAUCCGGAAUUAUUGGGCGUAAAGCGCGCGCAGGCGGUUUCUUAAGUCUGAUGUGAAAGCCCACGGC